UGAAUGGAAUAAAUGAGUUCGACACAAUCUUCUUUUCUUCUCUAUAUGGGAUUCUUGCCUUGCAGUUUUGGCCUUGAGAAAAUAUGGCUUUUGUUCAAACCAGUUCUUAAUCUCUUACAUUGUGAAAUUGUGAUAUGCUUUGCUUUUGUCAAUUCUAUCGGAUACUUGCUUCAGAUUAUAAUCUACUUUGCUUUUGUCAAGAGUAAGAAUAAAGGGAAUAUGACACUGUAAAACCUAUCUUGAUGGGUACCUCUUACUAUAAAUUUGCUUACUGUGAAUCCUUCUCACUCUCAUCUUCCAAUCCCUCUGUCUCUCUAAAUUUCAUAUUGUGAAUCCAUCUGUCCACGAAAUUUGCCAUUGUGAUUGUGAAUCCUUCUCAUUCUCAUCUUGCAAUCUCUCUAUCCCUCUGAAUCCCCUAUCUGUGAAUCCUUCUCAUGCUCAACCCAUCCUGCUUUAAAGAUAAGCUAUAACCACUUGCCAUCCCAUUUGAAACAAUGUUUUGCUUAUUGUUCAUUAUUCCCACAAGAUCAUGAAAUAUAUGUUGAUGAUUUGAUCCAUCAAUGGAUGGCACAUGGGUUCAUCAUUCAAGCUCAACCACCCCCAACUAGUAGAUCAGGAGGAAGUCAUCUUGCAAAGUCAUUAGAAGAAAUAGGACAUAGGUAUUUCAGGGAAUUAUUGUGGAGAGGAGAUCAUUCUUUCAAGAGGUAAGAGAAGAUUAUUUGGGCAACAUUGUGGCAUGCAAAUAUUUCAGGAAGGGCAAGUGAUCAGGUUGUGUGUGUGCAUGUGUGUUCAGAAAACUGAUUCAUGGACAUAUGAAUAUAUGUCUUACUGUCUGCUGAAUUCCUGUAGGAGCUGUUCCAUGUACCGCGAAGGCCCUUGUGAGGGGAUUUGUUUGCAAUAGAAGCUGAUGGGAAAGAAGAUAGUUCAGCGCACAAGCAGAAUCCACUGAGCUUUCUCACCUAGUUACCUGUAGAUUUCUCUUCUUUGAGUAGCGAGAUGAUCAGAAGCCCUGGUACAGAGGUUUGACAUAAUAUUGACAUGGAAAUCAGAAGGCAGUGUUCAUUUUCCCUUCUUGACAGAUAGCUAUGGCACCUAGGGAAGAGCGAGGGCAAGCUGUGGCAGCAACUUCAUGCCUCUUGUUAAGUUUUCUCGAAUUCUUAACCCCUUUUGAAGAAUGACCUGCUCAGACAUAUUUUGAUGGCAACCCGAAUGAGAUUUUUUUUUUCCUGAGAUCUGUGAUGGAAGUAACUUCAGGCCUCUUGUUAAGUACAGUUCAACACGUUCGGCCGUGACCCGAUGGAUCAACCCGUGACUUGGAGGAGUAUCUAAUGUACUAUUGUCUUGUUGAGCAUGCAGUUGUAAUUUUGAGGUUUUUCGAGCUAGGGUUUCAGAGCGAGUUUUCUCACUGUUGUUUGGUUGUAAUCUCUCUUCUACAUAGUGAAAGAUCUUCUUCUUCACCCGAAGACGUAGUACACCACAUCGGUGUAUGAACCUCAUUAAAUAUUUGUGUGUUGUGUGGAUUUGUGUUUGUUAAUUUUCGUAUCUGUUGGUGUUGAUAUAACACCUCUUUAUCUUGACUCAAAUUGAUGAUAAAAUGAUUUCCAAGAUUGAACA